rnacentral:tRNA from 1 species
GGCGCGCUGGCAACUCGCCUAUGAGCGACGUGCGCGCUCCGCACUCGAAAUCAGGCGUACCGCAAGGUACCGUGAGUUCGAAUCCCACCCUCUCCGCCA